rnacentral:rRNA from 1 species
UUCCUACGGGACGCAGCAGUGGGGAAUAUUGGGCAAUGGGCGCAAGCCUGACCCAGCAACGCCGCGUGAAGGAAGAAGGCUUUCGGGUUGUAAACUUCUUUUGACAGGGAAGAGUAGAAGACGGUACCUGUCGAAUAAGCCACGGCUAACUACGUGCCAGCAGCCGCGGUAAUACGUAGGAUGCGAGCGUUAUCCGGAUUUAUUGGGUUUAAAGGGUGCGUAGGCGGUCCGGAAAGUCAGCGGUAAAAGCCCGGGGCUCAACCCCGGCGAGCCGUUGAAACUGUCGGACUAGAGACAGCGAGAAG